AUUCCAGCUCCAAUAGCGUAUAUUAAUGUUGUUGCAGUUAAAAAGCUCGUAGUUGGAUUCCUGGCUCGGGGUAACCGGUCCGCCUUGCAAAAGGUGCGCACUGUGUGGCCUCGGCCAUCCUUGGGAAGAGCGGCUCUGGCAUUCGGUUGUCGGGGUCGGGAUUCCCGACGUUUACUGUGAAAAAAUCAGAGUGUUCAACGCAGGCUUACGCCUUGAAUACAUUAGCAUGGAAUAAUGAGAUAGGACCUUGGCGGUCUAUUUUGUUGGUUUGCACGCCGAGGUAAUGAUUAACAGGGACGGUUGGGGUUCUUCGUAUUCAAUUGUCAGAGGUGAAAUUCUUGGAUUUAUGGAAGACGAACUGCUGCGAAAGCGUCGAACAAGGACGUUCUCAUUA
rnacentral:rRNA from 1 species